rnacentral:rRNA from 1 species
CCCCUAGAUGUUCUGGGCCGCACGCGCGCUACACUGAACAGUUCAACAAGUCUUAACCUUGGCCGAUAGGUCUGGGUAAUCUUUGAACGCUGUUCGUGAUUGGGAUAGACCUUUGCAAUUAUGGAUCUUCAACGAGGAAUUCCUAGUAAACGCAAGUCAUCAGCUUGCAUUGAUUACGUCCCUGCCCUUUGUACACACCGCCCGUCGCACCUACCGAUUGAAUGGUCCGGUGAAAUCCUCGGAUCGAGCCGUGGGGCAACUCCGGUUCGAGAAGUUGAUUAAACCUUACCAUUUAGAGGAAGGUGAAGUCGUAACA